rnacentral:rRNA from 1 species
GCCUAGGUAUCUGCCCAGUCGAGGGGGAUAACAGUUGGAAACGACUGCUAAUACCGCAUACGCCCUACGGGGGAAAGGAGGGGACCUUCGGGCCUUCCGCGAUUGGAUGAACCUAGGUGGGAUUAGCUAGUUGGUGAGGUAAUGGCUCACCAAGGCGACGAUCCCUAGCUGGUCUGAGAGGAUGAUCAGCCACACUGGAACUGAGACACGGUCCAGACUCCUACGGGAGGCAGCAGUGGGGAAUAUUGCACAAUGGGCGAAAGCCUGAUGCAGCCAUGCCGCGUGUGUGAAGAAGGCCUUCGGGUUGUAAAGCACUUUCAGCGAGGAGGAAAGGUUAAGUCUUAAUACGGCUUAGCUGUGACGUUACUCGCAGAAGAAGCACCGGCUAACUUCGUGCCAGCAGCCGCGGUAAUACGAGGGGUGCAAGCGUUAAUCGGAAUUACUGGGCGUAAAGCGUACGCAGGCGGUUUGUUAAGCAAGAUGUGAAAGCCCCGGGCUCAACCUGGGAACUGCAUUUUGAACUGGCAAACUAGAGUCUUGUAGAGGGGGGUAGAAUUUCAGGUGUAGCGGUGAAAUGCGUAGAGAUCUGAAGGAAUACCGGUGGCGA